rnacentral:misc_RNA from 1 species
GUAACAAGGUCUCCGUUGGUGAACCAGCGGAGGGAUCAUUAUCGAGUUAUUCAACUCCCAAACCCUAUGUGAACUUACCACUUGUUGCUUCGGCGCGCGCUUCGGCGCCGCCGAGGACACUUAAACUCUUUGUUUUUAUAAGCAUUUCUGAGUGGCCGAAAGGCAAAAAUACAAAUGAAUCAAAACUUUCAACAACGGAUCUCUUGGUUCUGGCAUCGAUGAAGAACGCAGCGAAAUGCGAUAAGUAAUGUGAAUUGCAGAAUUCAGUGAAUCAUCGAAUCUUUGAACGCACAUUGCGCCCGCCAGCAUUCUGGCGGGCAUGCCUGUUCGAGCGUCAUUUCAACCCUCGAGCCCGACUCUUUUGAGGACGGCUCGGCGUUGGGGGACGGCAGACUCCCCCCGGCAUCUCGCCGGGGACGCCGCCCCCGAAAUCUAGUGGCGGCCCUCCGAGGCGACCUCUGCGUAGUAACUUGUUCUCGCACCGGAAAGCUCAGAGCGGCCACGCCGUAAAACCCCAACUUUUUUCAGGUUGACCUCGAAUCAGGUAGGACUACCCGCUGAACUUAAGCAUAUC